rnacentral:rRNA from 1 species
GGUCUGAGAGGAUGAUCAGCCACACCGGAACUGAGACACGGUCCAGACUCCCACGGGAGGCAGCAGGUGGGGAAUAUUGCACAAUGGGCGAAAGCCUGAUGCAGCCAUGCCGCGUGUGUGAAGAAGGUCCGCGGGUUGUAAAGCACUUUCAGCGAGGAGGAAAGGUUAAGUCUUAAUACGGCUUAGCUGUGACGUUACUCGCAGAAGAAGCACCGGCUAACUUCGUGCCAGCAGCCGCGGUAAUACGAGGGGUGCAAGCGUUAAUCGGAAUUACUGGGCGUAAAGCGUACGCAGGCGGUUUGUUAAGCAAGAUGUGAAAGCCCCGGGCUCAACCUGGGAACUGCAUUUUGAACU